rnacentral:rRNA from 1 species
CAGCCGCCGCGGUAAUACCGGCGGCCCGAGUGGCGGUCACUAUUAUUGGGCUUAAAACGUCCGUAGCCGGGUUGGGAAGUCCUCCGGGAAAUCUGGCCGCUUAACGGUCAGAAUGCCGGAGGAUACUCCCAGCCUAGGGAGCGGGAGAGGCCGAGGGUAUUCCCGGAGUAGGGGGGAAAUCCUAUAAUCCCGGGAGGACCACCUGUGGCGAAGGCGCUCGGCUGGAACGCGUCCGACGGUGAGGGACGAAGGCCAGGGGAGCAAACCGGAUUAGAUACCCGGGUAGUCCUGGCUGUAAACGAUGCGGACUUUGUGUCGGACAAGCUAUGAGCUUGUCCGGUGCCGGAGGGAAACCGUUAAGUCCGCCGCCUGGGGAGUACGGCCGCAAGGCUGAAACUUAAAGGAAUUGGCGGG